rnacentral:rRNA from 1 species
UGGGGAAUAUUGCACAAUGGGCGCAAGCCUGAUGCAGCAACGCCGCGUGAACGAUGAAGGUCUUCGAAUCGUAAAGUUCUGUUGCAGGGGAAGAUAAUGACGGUACCCUGUGAGGAAGCCCCGGCUAACUACGUGCCAGCAGUCGCGGUAAUACGUAGGGGGCUAGCGUUAUCCGGAUUUACUGGGCGUAAAGGGUGCGUAGGUGGUCUUUCAAGUCGGUGGUUAAAGGCUACGGCUCAACCGUAGUUAGCCUCCGAAACUGGAAGACUUGAGUGCAGGAGAGGAAAGUGGAAUUCCCAGUGUAGCGGUGAAAUGCGUAGAUAUUGGGAGGAACACCAGUAGCGAAGGCGGCUUUCUGGACUGCAACUGACACUGAGGCACGAAAGCGUGGGUAGCAAACAGG